UACGUAGGGGGCAAGCGUUGUCCGGAAUCAUUGGGCGUAAAGCGCGCGUAGGCGGCCCGGUAAGUCCGCUCUGAAAGUCCAGGGCUUAACCCUGGAAAGCGGGUGGAUACUGCCGGGCUUGAAUCCGGAAGAGGCGAGUGGAAUUCCUGGUGUAGCGGUGGAAUGCGCAGAUAUCAGGAGGAACACCCGUGGCGAAGGCGGCUCUCUGGGACGGUACUGACGCUGAGACGCGAAAGCGUGGGGAGCGAACAGG
rnacentral:rRNA from 1 species